CAUUAUUAUAUUAUAAAUACAAUUAAUAUUAACGAGGUUUAUUCAUGCACAUUACUUAAAUAAUUUAAACCCAACAAGAUGUUAAGAGUCCUUUUAUAAAUCUUCUAUAUGAAAGUUUAGAUACAGUGUAAAUUAUAACUGCACACAUUAGUACAUUUUCUAGCAUUUUUAAUAUUAUGAUCAUAUUCAAACCAUGUUGUUUACAGGAGUGCAAGCACAAACACCUCACAUAGAACGAUGAAGGCAAGACAUUUAGCAAAAUAUUGUUUUUAUAAGAAUUUCAUGACAAUCAUUUUACAGUGACCGUUGUUUACUUUUUCAAAGCGAUUUUCAAUAACAUUCGAACGUUCUAAUAACACAAACUGAUACAUUGUCCCACAAGUUACCCGUACAUUUAGCUACACGCCAAGCAAUUCUGUGUACACACUAUAGUCACCUGUGCAUUCUACAAUUGGCUAUCAUUUUGAGGAGGAUUUAAGCAGACAGUUGAGGAUAUUAUUUUUUAGAUUUUUUGAUCUGGAUAUUUUAGGUAUCUGGGUGGCAGAUUAUUGCUAGGCAGUACCCACAUUUUGUGUAUCUUAUUUAUUGAAGAAAUUGGACCCAAACGUGGCACAGACCCUAAUGAUGGCAUUCUCAGAAGAAGUAUUGGAAUUCACCAGAGAUCAUCCAGUCGAAAGGACAAGCUCUUUAUGAUCCGUGGAGUGCAGAGGGCAGCCACAUAAAGGGGGGUAAUGGAGGACUCCUUAACCUCUGACCCAGGCCUUUGUCAUUUUACUAGGAAGUGUUGAGAUAAUAACGAGGGUCCACUUUUUCUUCAGAAUGGCAAGCAGGAGGCCUCCAACAAAGCGCCAGUGUCUCUAUUAUCUGUCUACUGCAAACCCCCUCAUGUAGAAAACAUGUGUGUGUGUGAAUUACACAUUAAACAGUUUAUUUGAAGGAACAUAAAAUAGAAAUAAUUAGAAAUCAAUAUUUAUUGUUCUACUACACGCGGAUUUUCUAUGUAUGUUUAUUAGGAAAGAAACAUUGAGAUUGAGAUCAGCUCUCUCUGGACAGUACAUUAAAAAAAUAAAUUAAAAAAUAAAAUAUAAAUUAAAUCAUAUAUUGUUAUAAUUUCAGUUUACAUCUAAUGCAGUAGCUCAGCUAUGAUUGAUUACCUCGGUUUUCUUUGAACAACUACUCCCUAAUCUGUUUGUUGUUUUUUUUUUUAAAUGCAAGUAAACUAAAACCAGUAUUCACAUAUACACACAAACAUAUACACGAUCACAUACAUACGUAUAUAUAUAAAUAUGUAUGUAUUUCAGUGUUAGAAUAGAUAGUUUUUUAAAAUGAAGGUGCAUGUAUUUUUGCAACAUAUGGAUGUACAUAUUUAUUGAAGUGUGUCACCUAGUUAUUACGGCAUUUUUAUUGUUUAAAAUUAAGCUAGCAUACUAUAUAUAUAUAUGAACAGACAUUUGGAAAAUAUUACCACAUUUCUACUGUUUUUUUCCACGACUUGUUCCAUCCAUUGACAAGUAUGAUAAUGAGCUAGAAUACAGCAGCGACCUCUAGUGGAGAGCAAGGAUAAAUCACUAUCCGUGUCGAUUCUUAAUAUUUUGCAAUACAAUCGUAAGAUUAUUUAUAUUUAUUUUGUUAUAAAUUCAGAUUGGGUACUUGUUGGUUAAAAGUUGCCCCAGCUCAUUAUUACAUCUCAUCGUGCAGGCAGUAUUGAAUUUACCCACUUCAGAUGCUUGAAAUCCAAUGUUCUGAGAUUAGGUGGUCCUUAACACAUGCAGUAUAUUAAUAUUCUCUUUAAAUGACAUAUAUUGUUAUAUUUUCACUUUGUUAAUUCUAAUUUUCUUAGUAAACAAGUAACCAUACAUAUAUAUGCAUCAGUUCUGUAUCAGAAAAUAUGAGUGGAAUUAAUACUGUGCACAUCUCUGUUAAUGUUUCAUUAUUAUGUUAUCACAUUAGGAAUCAGACCACCAUAUGUAAUUAUAAUAUACAUAUCAUAUUUAGUGAAAGAAAAACACAAUGAUAUAUAUAAAUAAGUAUAUUUUUUUUAAACCAAACUAGCCAAGUAUAUUUCCAAAUAAUUUAAUUAGAUUGUCUUACAUUAUAGGGGUUGAAUGUUUAAUAAUAUCACCAGAAUAAAAAUCCCUAUUUAUUAUAAUUAUAUACGUUUAUUAGUACACAGCAUAUACUGACUUCAUUCUUUGUACCAAAAUGCACGUCAUAAUGUUGUGUAAUCUUCUAUUUAACGUGAUGACGAUGAAACUGCUACAUUGUACGUGGAACAUUAAUUUUAUAAAACUCAAGGAGAUUCACGUCCAUUAUUUAUUAAGUAUAAAAAUAUAUCCUUUACACAGAUAGCUUCUGAAAUGUACUUAUGUGCUUAAGAAGUAUUUUAAUUCGACGCACACGUUAAGAAAUUAUAAAAAAUGAAAAAACGUAAAUUCGUUGGCAAAAAUAUUGAUAGGAAAUAUGUCACAGUAAAUCACUAGUAUACAAAUAUACUAUUUGUGUAUACUAGAAUCCUAAACACUAAAACUCAUCUGUAACUGAGCUAUUGAAAUUGAAAACACAAAUACACACUUUCAUAUCUAAAUACCUUUAGAUGUACACAAUGGUUCACUUUAAAUGCAGUGGAUUAUCUUGGCUAUAAAUUCACCCGAUGGAGUACAAUGUAUAAUGUAUAUUGUUAUGUUUCUGUAAUUGUUAGUCCAUAAACUCUGCUCUAAGCGUUAUGUAUUCCCCAGAUCUUAGUCAAUGUAUUCCCCCCACUUACACAAUACCUUCACGAUUUAUCCAUUUCCCAAGCUGCCUCAUGGGCUAACUUGAUAUUCUGAAUUCUGUGGGCUGUUUGGGACCAGGUACCCUUGAUAGUAAGGUUAAGAAUAUAUCAACCCACACAGAGUAUGGACAAUAUUUAACUUUACAGUAAAUCCUGUUCUGUCAAAAGAAGGACACAGGUUUUGGGUCCUGCAUUACGUGUACUGUGUGAUCACGUAGAUGGGAGUGUGACUGACUAAUGACACUGUGUAUGAAAAUAUGGUGGGAGCAUACACGGAAAAAAAACACACGCACGUUUUAAAUAGUUUAUGGCACACAGAUCAUCAUAAUUAUAUCUAAGAAUUUAUAUUGGAGUCAUCUAAACCUACUUACAGAAAUAAUGACCUACAUGUGAGAGGAAGUGCCACAUCUGCAUUGUGUGGGGGACUAUCGCAAGGAGGAGCAGGGUUGUUGUUUGGGGAGGUCUGACAGUGGCAGGGGCCCUGAGUGGGGUCCUGAAAAGUCACCAUCUCCUUGUUGCCCCUGAGCCCCCUGUGAUACUGAGCUAGAA